UACGUAGGGUGCGAGCGUUGUCCGGAAUUACUGGGCGUAAAGAGCUCGUAGGUGGUUUAUCGCGUUGUUCGUGAAAACCGGGGGCUUAACCCUCGGCGUGCGGGCGAUACGGGCAGACUUGAGUACUGCAGGGGAGACUGGAAUUCCUGGUGUAGCGGUGGAAUGCGCAGAUAUCAGGAGGAACACCGGUGGCGAAGGCGGGUCUCUGGGCAGUAACUGACGCUGAGGAGCGAAAGCGUGGGGAGCGAACAGG
rnacentral:rRNA from 1 species